AAAGGCCCUUCGGGGUACUCGAGCGGCGAACGGGUGAGUAACACGUGAGCAACCUGCCCCUAGCUCUGGGAUAGCUCCGGGAAACCGGGAUUAAUACCAGAUACGACCACUUUAGACAUCUUUUGUGGUGGAAAGGAUUCCGGCUAGGGAUGGACUCGCGGCCUAUCAGCUUGUUGGUGGGGUAAUGGCCUACCAAGGCGACGACGGGUAGCCGGCCUGAGAGGGCGACCGGCCACACUGGGACUGAGACACGGCCCAGACUCCUACGGGAGGCAGCAGUGGGGAAUAUUGCGCAAUGGGCGAAAGCCUGACGCAGCGACGCCGCGUGGGGGAUGAAGGCCUUCGGG
rnacentral:rRNA from 1 species